rnacentral:rRNA from 1 species
UACGGGGGGAGCAAGCGUUGUUCGGAUUUACUGGGCGUAAAUGGCGCGUAGGCGGCGCAACAAGUCACUUGUGAAAUCUCCGGGCUUAACUCGGAACGGUCAAGUGAUACUGUCGGACUAGAGUACAGAAGGGGCAACUGGAAUUCUCGGUGUAGCGGUGAAAUGCGUAGAGAUCGGGAAGAACACCAACGGCGAAAGCACUCUGCUGGGCCGAAACUGACACUGAGGCGCGAAAGCCAGGGGAGCGAAUGGG